rnacentral:rRNA from 1 species
AGUAGUUUGAUCAUGGCUCAGGAUGAACGCUAGCUACAGGCUUAACACAUGCAAGUCGAGGGGCAGCAUUGUCGAAGCUUGCUUUGACAGAUGGCGACCGGCGCACGGGUGAGUAACGCGUAUCCAACCUUCCCCUUAGUAGAGGAUAGCCCGGCGAAAGUCGGAUUAAUACUCUAUGUUCUUUCUGGAUGGCAUCUGAUGGAAAGCAAAGGUUCACCGCUAAGGGAUGGGGAUGCGUCUGAUUAGCUUGUUGGCGGGGUAACGGCCCACCAAGGCGACGAUCAGUAGGGGUUCUGAGAGGAAGGUCCCCCACACUGGUACUGAGACACGGACCAGACUCC